ACAAUGAAGAGUUUGAUCCUGGCUCAGGAUGAACGCUAGCUACAGGCUUAACACAUGCAAGUCGAGGGGCAUCAGGAAGAAAGCUUGCUUUCUUUGCUGGCGACCGGCGCACGGGUGAGUAACACGUAUCCAACCUGCCCUUUACUCGGGGAUAGCCUUUCGAAAGAAAGAUUAAUACCCGAUAGCAUAAUGAUUCCGCAUGGUUUCAUUAUUAAAGGAUUCCGGUAAAGGAUGGGGAUGCGUUCCAUUAGGUUGUUGGUGAGGUAACGGCUCACCAAGCCUUCGAUGGAUAGGGGUUCUGAGAGGAAGGUCCCCCACAUUGGAACUGAGACACGGUCCAAACUCCUACGGGAGGCAGCAGUGAGGAAUAUUGGUCAAUGGGCGCUAGCCUGAACCAGCCAAGUAGCGUGAAGGAUGAAGGCUCUAUGGGUCGUAAACUUCUUUUAUAUAAGAAUAAAGUGCAGUAUGUAUACUGUUUUGUAUGUAUUAUAUGAAUAAGGAUCGGCUAACUCCGUGCCAGCAGCCGCGGUAAUACGGAGGAUCCGAGCGUUAUCCGGAUUUAUUGGGUUUAAAGGGAGCGUAGGUGGACUGGUAAGUCAGUUGUGAAAGUUUGCGGCUCAACCGUAAAAUUGCAGUUGAUACUGUCAGUCUUGAGUACAGUAGAGGUGGGCGGAAUUCGUGGUGUAGCGGUGAAAUGCUUAGAUAUCACGAAGAACUCCGAUUGCGAAGGCAGCUCACUGGACUGCAACUGACACUGAUGCUCGAAAGUGUGGGUAUCAAACAGGAUUAGAUACCCUGGUAGUCCACACAGUAAACGAUGAAUACUCGCUGUUUGCGAUAUACAGUAAGCGGCCAAGCGAAAGCAUUAAGUAUUCCACCUGGGGAGUACGCCGGCAACGGUGAAACUCAAAGGAAUUGACGGGGGCCCGCACAAGCGGAGGAACAUGUGGUUUAAUUCGAUGAUACGCGAGGAACCUUACCCGGGCUUAAAUUGCAGUGGAAUGAUGUGGAAACAUGUCAGUGAGCAAUCACCGCUGUGAAGGUGCUGCAUGGUUGUCGUCAGCUCGUGCCGUGAGGUGUCGGCUUAAGUGCCAUAACGAGCGCAACCCUUAUCUUCAGUUACUAACAGGUCAUGCUGAGGACUCUGGAGAGACUGCCGUCGUAAGAUGUGAGGAAGGUGGGGAUGACGUCAAAUCAGCACGGCCCUUACGUCCGGGGCUACACACGUGUUACAAUGGGGGGUACAGAAGGCAGCUAGCGGGUGACCGUAUGCUAAUCCCAAAAGCCUCUCUCAGUUCGGAUCGAAGUCUGCAACCCGACUUCGUGAAGCUGGAUUCGCUAGUAAUCGCGCAUCAGCCACGGCGCGGUGAAUACGUUCCCGGGCCUUGUACACACCGCCCGUCAAGCCAUGGGAGCCGGGGGUACCUGAAGUACGUAACCGCAAGGAUCGUCCUAGGGUAAAACUGGUGACUGGGGCUAAGUCGUAACAAGGUAGCCGUACCGGAAGGUGCGGCUGGAACACCUCCUUU
rnacentral:rRNA from 1 species